rfam:Neotoma lepida isolate 417 scaffold_46, whole genome shotgun sequence.
GGGGNGAUGGCUCAGUGGGUAAGAGUACUUGCUGCACAAGCAUGAGGACCUGAGUUCGAAUCCCCAGCAUCCCUG